AACUCCUACGGGGGGCAGCAGUGAGGAAUAUUGGUCAAUGGACGAGAGUCUGAACCAGCCAAGUAGCGUGAAGGAUGACUGCCCUAUGGGUUGUAAACUUCUUUUAUAUGGGAAUAAAACAGGGUAUGCAUACCCUCUUGUAUGUACCAUAUGAAUAAGGAUCGGCUAACUCCGUGCCAGCAGCCGCGGUAAUACGGAGGAUCCGAGCGUUAUCCGAUUUUUUUGGGUUUAAGGGAGGGGUGGGUGGUUGUUUAAGUCGUUUUGAAAAGUUUG
rnacentral:rRNA from 1 species